GGCGCUGUGGCUCAGUGGUUAAAACGCCUGUCUUGUAAACAGGAGAUCUUGGAUUCAAACCCCAACAGUGCCU